rnacentral:lncRNA from 1 species
GAAGUACUCCUGGUGGCGGGCGUGGGCCGCGCCGGGCCGUGGGCAGCCGGCGGGGGCUGGGGCGGCUGCGGCGAGACAGCGCAUCAAAGGGGCCCAGGAACAGGCCUCCGAGGGGACCCCCAGGGAGGAGCAGCCGAGGGGUGCGGCCCCUACCUGGGCACUGCGGGCAGCACUCUCCCGGCAGCAGGACAGGCUCUGGACAGGGCAGCGGCACGCAGCGGCGGGCCAGGCACUGCACGUUGCCGCUCUACGGACCGACAGACGCACCACGGACUCACCCUGAAUUUUUUCUUGUGCAAGAUCCAAGAACCCUUUCUUGGGGUCUGGAUCAGGACUCCUUUCCUGUAACAUCUUUCUGGCGACCACUGAAGGGAUGAUAGUGCGGAAACCCCCGACCCAAAGGCUAAUUUUUGGUCACAAUUGGAGAAACUGGCUAUUUUACCAAGGCUUCGACUGGAAUGGCAUACCUUAAGGAAUCAUGUAAGGAAUCAUGAUUCCUUAAGGAAUCAAAUUUGACUUGUAGAGCCAAUAAAUGCCCCUUGGAGAAACCGGCCUCAUACCUUGCCUACACAGUCUCUGUACAGGGUUUCUGACCUGUGGUAAGUAAAGAAUGUCACUUUCUAACAGGCCCAGGAGCCCCAAGUUAUCUUGGAACCUCAAAAGGAGAGGAAUUUACUCAACUCAUAGGUAUUUUAGGGCACAAACCCAUGGCAAGGCUUGGCUCAAAAAAAAAUCUUAUCUGAGAUUCUUUAUGAAACAGAGUUCCAUCAAAGCCAAUUUCAAAGAGCUUAUAUAAAAAAUAAUCAUUCUUGCGGCACUAUAUCAACUUUUGUUGGAACUCAGAGUUAUGAAUGGCCCUCGCCAUGCCGAUGCUUUCUGAUUAAGCACCUCUGUACCCUGAACACAAGAGAGAGAGACCCUAAUAGUUAGGCAGGAAUAUCAUUGCCCCUAUUCAGCCUGAAGAAAUUACAAAAGAUGGAUUUUUGUCCCUCUGCACCCCUUAGGAUCAAGGGUUCUCUUAUAAAAGGGAGAGGGAAAAUGUCAGAGGCAUUUGAACCAGAGCAACUCCAUCUUAAAUAGGAGCUGGAUAAAAAUGAGGCUGAGACCUACUGGGCUGCAUUCCCAGAUGGUUAGGCAUUCUAAGUCACAGGAUGAGAUAGGAGGUCAGCACAAGAUAUAGGUCAUAAAGACCUUGCUGAUAACACAGGUUGCAGUAAAGAAGCCAGCUAAAUGCCACCAAAACCAAGAUGGCGACGAGAGUGACCUCUGGUUGUCCUCACUGCUAUACUCCCACCAGGGCCAUGAUAGUUUACAAAUGCCAUGGCAAUGUCAGGAAGUUACCCUAUAUGGUCUAAAAAGGGGAGGCAUGAAUAAUCCACUCCUUUUUUAGCAUAUCAUCAAGAAAUAACCAUAAAAAUGGGCAACCAGCAGCCCUCAGGGCUGCUCUGUCUAUGGAGUAGCCAUUCUUUUAUUCCUCUACUUUCUUAAUAAACUGCUUUUGGCCGGGCGUGGUGGCUCACGCCUGUAAUCCCAGCACUGUGGGAGGCAGAGGGGGGCGGAUCACGAGGUCAGGAGAUCGAGACCAUCCUGGCUAACACAGUGAAACCCUGUCUCUACUAAAAAUACAAAAAAUUAGCCAGGCGUGUUGGCGGGCGCCUGUAGUCCCAGCUACUCGGGAUACGGAGGCAGGAGAAUGGCGUGAACCUGGAAGGCGGAGCUUGCCGUGAGCCAAGAUCACGCCACUGCACUCCAGCCUGGAUGACAGAGCAAGACUCCGCCUCAAAAAAAAAAAACACAUAAACUUGCUUUC